UAAGUUAAUCUAGCUUGAACUCGAACCUGGCCGAGCUCGGGCUCAGCUCUCGACUCGUUUGCACCCCUACUUCAAACUCAAAAGUCCUUUUAGGGACAAAUUUCCUAUUAAACCCUGCCAUUCCUCCGACCCAUUUGCAGCCUUCAUCAAUUAAACUCCCCCAUCUACCAGCUUCAUUAAUCACCCCCAUCUGCCGCCUUCAUCAAUUGACUCCCCCAUCUGAAUUCACGGCCUCCUCCUCUGGUGACUUGGAAUUCUUCUUAACACAGUUAGCUGAAGAAGAAGCAGGUUCAAGCAGUAGUAAGUAAGAUAACUGAGAUUACAUUCUCCAUAAUACAAGGGAUACUAACAACUGGAGAUGAGGAAUAUGGAAAGUUUCACAAACCAUAUGCUACUUCAAUUGUACAAUUUCUAAAGAUAGCAACAUGUGUUACGAGUGGCCUAGACUACUUUCAUAAUAAGAGAAUGGAAGACAUCGUUGUAGAUUGGUACAACCGUCAACCACAAGUACUUGCUGAUGCACGUAGGCAACAUACGGGUAAGUUAAAAACCAUAUCUAAUCGAGUUUUACACUCAACGGUCACACGGUCAUGAGCUGUCAGUUUUGGAUAUGGGUCAGUUAUAGCUCCAAACUUGCAGCAGAAGAAAUUCGAUACUAUUCUUAUUUACCUGGUUAAUUUGAAUUUAAUUAAUGUGUGAAUUGGUAAAGGGUUUGACCGAGUUUACUGAAGGCGCACUUGGUUAGGGGUGUUCUUCAGGUUUUUUUAUCGGGUUUUGGGUUUAUCGGGUUUUCAAAGGUGGAAAUAUAACCCGAUAAUCGAACUAGAUUCGAGUUUUAUGGUUCUCGGGAUUAUUGGGUCGGGUUCUUCGGAUUUUGGGCUAAGUAUAUUCUUUUUUUAACUGUAUGCGAAAGGGCUAAAUAAAUAUUACAAGGUUGUAUGUAUAUUUACAAUCGAUCACGAACUUUAGGGCUGCAUUUUUGCUGGUAGGGAUGCAAACGAGCCAAGUCGAGCCCGAACAUUAACUUACUCGAGCUUGGCUAGAUUCAAGCCUUGGAUUUUGGGGUCGAGCUCGGCCAAAAGCUCGAAUUAAGUAUGUGUUGUGCGAGCUUAAACAAGCUAAAGGCUCGAGCUCGUUUUUGCCGUUAAUGGCUUCUUUUUUUUACAUGCUUUCGUGUUUAUGAACUCUCAUUUUUAUUUUUAUUCUACUUAACUUUUUCUUGAUAUGAUAAUCGAGUCGACACAACUUCAUACGUUUUUAUUUACGUACUUACUCACGUCAUUGACACCGCCACAAUACGCUUUUGAAAAUUAUAUGUCAUAUUUUACUCAUUUUAAUAAUUUUAGUAUUUAUAGUUAAUUUCACACAUUUAGUUUUUCCCUCGUAACUUUUAAAAUAUAAUAUUUUUUUAUAAUCCGGUAUGAUAUUGUGACAUGUCUAUUUUUAUGUACCUAUUGGGAAAAAAAAAAUUAUUCAAAACGAGUAAGCCUAUGUUUCGACAUAAAUUUUAUUUGGGACCAAGUCCGGUUAGGUAGCAUGUGUUUUUGACUUCUUUUUUUACAUCCUUUCAUAUUUAUGAACUCUCAUUUUUAUUAGGACUUUACUUUUUCUUGAUAUGAUAUGAUAUUCAUAAUCGAGUCGACGCAAAUUUAUACGCUUUUAUUUACAUACUUAGUCUCGUCAUUUUCACCGCCACAACGACCGACACUUUUGAAAAUUACAUGCCAUUUUUUUACUCAUUUUAAUAAUUUUAGUAUUCUAAUAUUUAUAGUUAAUUUUACACACAUUUAGUUUUUCCCCAUAACUUUUAAAGUAUAAUAUUAUUUAUUCUAUAAUCGGGUAUGAUAUUGUGACAUGUCUGUUUUUAUGUACGUUUUGGAAAAAAAAUUCAAAAUGAGUUAGCCUAUGUUUCGACGUAAAUUUUAUUCGGGACCGAGUCCGGUAAGGUAACAUGUGAUUUUGACUACUUUUUUACAUGCUUUCGUAUGUAUGGACUCUCAUUUUUAUUACAACUUAACUUUCUCUUGAUAUGAUAUUCAUAAUCGAGUCGUCGCAACAUCAUACGCUUUUAUUUACAUACCUGAUCACGUCAUUGUCAUCGCUACAACGGCCGACACUUUUGAAAAUUAUAUGUUAUUUUUUACUUAUUUUAAUAAUUUUAGCAUUCUAAUAUUUAUAGUUAAUUUCACACACAUUUAGUUUUUCCCUUGUAACUUUUAAAAUAUAGUAUAUUUUUUUCUAUAAUCCGGUAUGAUAUUGUGGCAUGUCUAUUUUUAUGUACGUUUUGGGAAAAAUUAUUCAAAACGAGUUAGCCUAUGUUUCAACGUAAAUGUAUUCGGGACCAACUCCGGUUAGGUAGCAUGUGUUUUUUACGUCUUUUUUUACAUGCUUUCGUGUUUAUGAACUCUCAUUUUUAUUACGAUUUAACUUUUUCUUGAUAUAAUACUCGAGUCAUAAUCGAGUCUACGCAACUUCAUACGCUUUUAUUUACAUACUUAGUCACGCCAUUGUCACCCGCUACAACGACCGGUACUUUUGAAAAGUUAAACUUGAGUAGGCUGUGGUUUUUCAAGUUUUCCAUUAUGGUUAUUUAGUUUAUAUGGAUUCGUGUUUUCGUGUUUUUAAUGCUCAUUUUUACGACAAUUGACAUUUAUUUUAGAUUAAGUAAAAAAUCGGCUCGCUUUCCGCCGCGAAGCGCGGGUAUAACACUAGUUAAUAUAUAUUUAUAUGUUAUCAAGGUUUAAAAAAACGGAAUCGAGUUUCGAGACGUUUUCCCUUUGCCUCACGAGACGUAAGUCUCGAGGCGUAAUUAAAAAAUAAAUAUAAAAAUUAUAGAUCUUAUAAAAAAUAAAAUAAUACUUCAAAAUUCUAAUAAAUACUUCUAGAAUUCAUUGGGCCAAGUCAAAAUUUCUUUAUAGGAAUGAGCCCAAGUUUAAAGAAAGAGCCCAACUUUAUAAAAACUCACGUAUCUUCUUCAGAUUUGUUGUCAUCUAAAAACCUCUCCACCCUCCAUCCGAAACCCUAAUAGUUGAUAUAGCCGUCAUUUUGUAUGCUUUGUUUCUUCUUGAUCGUCCACGCUACAUGUCCAUAUGUUGUGGUUCUUCUUCCCGCACCUGCUAAGCAUCAUUUGUUGUUACAGCCGUUACCUCCAAUGGACAAAACCCUAAUUCUCCGGUUACCAUCAGAAAUGUACGCCUCUUCAUAAACGACCGCAUGCGUACGUAUAAUAAUAGCUAGCGAGGCGCCGCCUCAAAAACGAUUUCUUCCCGUUUCGCCUCCUCGAACGUUUUUUAAACCAUGUAUCUUAUGAAUCGGUGUUAGAUUAUCCUAUACUAAAAUAUAUUUUGUUGUGGAGAUUCGUGCUGGCCGUAUGCCACUAUCGCUUCUAUUGAAGCGAUGAACCAAAUUUUGAAUCCUUCGCAAGAGUUUACUCUACUGAGUAUCCAACAACUCGUGGACUAUUAUAACGAAUACAAAGAUGACUUUACAAGUUGGGGUGGAGCAAGACGUGCCUUUGGGAGCAUUCAUAGGAGCGGGGAGGAGUAUAUAGUGAGAGGGAUUAUCAGAAUAGGGGUGACCAUAUCAGUAGGGAACCUUAUGCAAUGGAGAUGUUAGUAAAAAUUGAUUUUCAUUUUAGUUGAAUAAAUAAUUUUGUUUGUUGGCAGUUAAACUCAACAGUAGUGAUUUACUCUUUCAACAAAGUUGGCCACAACGAGAGAGCCAUUGCAGAAGUGGUAAGGCGACAACCCGUGACCGCUGUUGUGGGGUCUCUACCAUUGAGAGAGAUUUUAUACACCGGGUCGAAUAAUCCGUUAUUCCGAAGCCGAUUGUGACACUCGUUUGGAUCAUACUAUUUUGAUUGUCGGAUUCAGAAAAAAAAAAAAAAAAAAGACGGAUUGGACUAUUGGAGAUGUCUUAAUUUCUGGGGUGCAACUUUUGGUGGCGAUGACACCUUUUACUUGGAGAGGAAUACGAAUCAUCCCCGUCGCAAUGAAAUUUUGAAGCGAUGAACCAAAUUUUGAAUCCUUCGCAAGAGUUUACUCCACUAAGUAUCCAACAACUCGUGGACUGUUAUAAUGAAUACAAAGAUGACUUUACAAGUAGGGGUGGAGCAAGACGUGCCUUUGGGAGCAUUCAUAGGAGCGGGGGAAGAGUAUAUAGUGAGAGGGAUUAUCAGAAUAGGGGUGACCAUAUCAGUAGGGGACCUUGUGCAAUGGAGAUGUUAGUAAAAAUUGAUUUUCAUUUUAGUUGAAUAAAUAAUUUUGUUUGUUGGCAGUUAAACCCAACGGUAGUUCUUUCAACAAAGUUGGCCACAACGAGAGAGCCAUUGCAGAAGUGAUAAGGCGACAGCCCGUGACCGCUGUUGUGGGGUCUUUUACCAUUGAGAGAGAGAUUUUAUACACCGGGUCGAAUAAUCCGUUAUUCCGAAGCGGAUGGAGACACUCGUUUGGAUCAUACUGUUUUGAUCGUCGGAUUCGGAAAAAAAGACGGGUUGGACUAUUGGAGAUGUCUUAAUUUCUGGGGUGCAACUUUUGGUGGCGAUGGCACCUUUUACUUGGAGAGGAAUACGAAUCAUCCCUGUCGCAACGAAACAGCAGGCAUCGCUAGACUAUGUUGUUAGCCGAUGAAAGAAGGUUUUAACAUGUGACUGUUGCUAUUUUUGAACUUCUUUUGAAACUAGAUUAAAUGAUGCUUUUUGAGCUUUUUUAGAACUUUUGAAUUACAACUACCAAUGCCUUUUGAGCUCUUUUAGAACUUGUUUUGAACUACUCAUGCUAUUUGAUUGUGUUUUGGAC